CAUUUAACAACAUCAAGGGCUGAUUAUUUCUGUUAACGUGAAAUUACUAAUGACUAAUAAUGUCGUAUUUAUUCGAGAUAAACCAGACGAGUGAAAUUAUUCUCCGCGCCAGUUAAACAUCCACUAAACCGCCUUUAAGUUCAUAGUACAGUACCACAUAAUGGGUUGAAUACUUGCUAAUUAUUUCCUAUUGAUACAAUGCUAGGAUUGUUACACAUGUACGCUGCUUUCUUCACGAGACAUUAUUUUAUUUGGAACUGGUUAAAAAACUUGAAAAUAUAAUUAACUCAUAUUAAUAGAUUUUAAUGGAACCCGUGCCCAGAUUUAACACACGGAGUUAGACGAAAGUAGCUUGAAUGUGAAUUCGAACGUACAUAUAUAUAUAGCAACUCAACAUGAUGCAAACACAAACGAUAAGCGUUAUUCUUUUAUCGCUGCUCAUCUUCACAUUUCUAUUGGAAUGCCAAAGUCAAAAAUGCAGAAAAUAUGGAAAAAGAUGUAGGGAUACGAAACCUUUCAUCAAAGGACGAGGUCGAUGUGCACGAAGUGGAGCGCAAAUGAGCUGUGCAAGGAUUGGUCGUGCCUGCAGAUGCAAAUCCACAAUAAUUCUAAACUCAUCUCCCCAGCUGAACGAGAAACAUUCGUCUCUGGGACUUCAAGCCACUCUGAACAUUAAUCUUAGCAUCAACAGUGAUAAACAAUCUGAAGACAAUUACAUAUACAUCUGAGAAGUAUUUAGUUCGAAAAUCAAAAUAAUGCCGAGUGUGUUACAAAAAAAAAAAAAAAAAAAACACUUGAAAAAACAAAUUUAUAUUGUUAUAUUGAAUCGAAGGCAUGUACCUCUAGAUGUUAGCUUUAGUCUAUCUUUAAAGUUGAAGUUUGGUCAUUUUAUGUCUGAACACAAGGUUUUGUUUCUAAACUGUCUAAAAAUGCCAGAUCAAGAAAGCAAACAUCCCCGAGUCGGUAAUCGUACCCGGGCAACCUAUGCAGUAAAAAUGUUCGUGUGUUUUUGACCAAUACACCACAGAGGAAUACGUACUUAACGAGCAUUGACUAUAAAGCUUUAUAAUUAAGGCAGUUUUCAUCCGGUACCCCUUUACAAAUCCUUUUCAAUUUUGAAUAGAAAAUUAGUAAAAACAAAAAAAAAAUCUUUUUUAUGCGUUUUCAUAACAUUUAAUGUGCCAGUUUCAAAGCUUAAGAAUUACAACAGUAUCUUUCUUUUAUCUUAAAUUUGUUUUUUUCAUACGAUUUGCCUAAAAAUAUGACAUAAAAACUUCUUUGCUUGUCAAACUUGAUCGAUGAAUAAAUUAAGUUUUUUUUAUAGAGAAUGUACGUACGUUUUACGUUUUCUAGACAUAAAUCUAAUGUUAAUUCAUAAUACGGUGGUAUGUUUAGGACAUAAGUUAUUUUUUUAAGAUUAAGUUAUCUCGUACGCA